GUGGGGAAUAUUGCGCAAUGGGGGAAACCCUGACGCAGCGACGCCGUGUGAGGGAAGAAGGCUUUCGGGUCGUAAACCUCUGUCAGAAAGGAAGAACCUCCCAAGUCCGAAUAGGGCUUGGGACUGACGGUACUUUCAAAGGAAGCACCGGCUAACUCCGUGCCAGCAGCCGCGGUAAUACGGAGGGUGCAAGCGUUAAUCGGAAUCACUGGGCGUAAAGCGCGCGUAGGCCGCUUUGUAAGUCGGACGUGAAAGCCCUCGGCUCAACCGGGGAACUGCGUUGGAUACUGCGAGGCUUGAGUCCUGGAGAGGGUGGCGGAAUUCCGGGUGUAGGAGUGAAAUCCGUAGAUAUCCGGAGGAACACCGGUGGCGAAGGCGGCCACCUGGACAGGUACUGACGCUGAGGCGCGAAAGCGUGGGGAGCAAACAGGAUUAGAAACCCCUGUAGUCC
rnacentral:rRNA from 1 species